rnacentral:tRNA from 1 species
CUUCACCUCUUCCCUGGUGGUCUAGUGGUUAGGAUUCGGCGCUCUCACCGCCGCGGCCCGGGUUCGAUUCCCGGUC